rnacentral:lncRNA from 1 species
GGAUGACACAGCCCUUGGCAACCUACCAGCAGUGACAUGCUAUAUCUUUAUUGAUUUCCCCCUCACUCCACUCCUCACGUCCUACACGGUGGGGCGGCACUCUGGUGGUAGCCCUCUGCCCUUCCAUACUCCCAAUUGGAAAGUGGCUCUUCUUAACCUCAGUUAUCAUUUCAAAAUGUUCCCUCUGGAAAGAUGAGAUGGAUAACCCCUAAUCUAACAUUCUAGCUCCAAAAAGCCUACUAGACACCCCUUUUAACUUCAUCUUGCUGGGCCAUAAAAUCUUUAUUUAUGUAUGUGUG